CAGGACGAACGCUGGCGGCGUGCCUAAUACAUGCAAGUCGAACGGUCUUUCUAUGGAAGCUUGCUUCCACUGAGGAGAUAGUGGCGAACGGGUGAGUAACACGUGGGUAACCUGCCCAUAAGAGGGGGGAUAACAUCCGGAAACGGGUGCUAAUACCGCAUAGUUUUCUUGAUCGCAUGAUCGGGAAAGGAAAGACGGCCUUUGUGCUGUCGCUUAUGGAUGGACCCGCGGCGUAUUAGUUAGUUGGUGAGGUAACGGCUCACCAAGACGAUGAUACGUAGCCGACCUGAGAGGGUGAUCGGCCACAUUGGGACUGAGACACGGCCCAAACUCCUACGGGAGGCAGCAGUAGGGAAUCUUCCGCAAUGGACGAAAGUCUGACGGAGCAACGCCGCGUGAGUGAAGAAAAGGUUUUCGGAUCGUAAAACUCUGUUGUCAGAGAAGAACAAGUUGGAGAGUAACUGCUCCAGCCUUGACGGUAUCUGACCAGAAAGCCACGGCUAACUACGUGCCAGCCGCCGC
rnacentral:rRNA from 1 species